rnacentral:rRNA from 1 species
UACAGAGGGUGCAAGCGUUAAUCGGAAUUACUGGGCGUAAAGCGCGCGUAGGUGGUUCGUUAAGUUGGAUGUGAAAUCCCCGGGCUCAACCUGGGAACUGCAUUCAAAACUGACGAGCUAGAGUGUGGUAAAGGGUAGUGGAAUUUCCAGUGUAGCGGUGAAAUGCGUAGAUAUUGGAAGGAACACCAGUGGCGAAGGCGACUACCUGGACUAACACUGACACUGAGGUGCGAAAGCGUGGGGAGCAAACAGG